CAGUAGCCACGGUAAUACGAAGGGGGCUAGCGUUGUUCGGAAUUACUGGGCGUAAAGGGCGCGUAGGCGGUUUGCCAAGUUAGAUGUGAAAUUCCCGGGCUUAACCUGGGGACUGCAUUUGAUACUAGCAGGCUAGAGUAUGGCAGAGGGGGGUAGAAUUCCACGUGUAGCAGUGAAAUGCGUAGAGAUGUGGAGGAAUACCGAUGGCGAAGGCAGCCCCCUGGGCCAAUACUGACGCUCAUGCACGAAAGCGUGGGGAGCAAACAGGAUUAGAUACCCGCGUAGUCCCUGUCUCUUAUAC
rnacentral:rRNA from 1 species